CCUACGGGAGGCAGCAGUAAGGAAUAUUGGGCAAUGGACGAAAGUCUGACCCAGCCAUGCCGCGUGAAGGAUGAAGGUCCUCUGGAUUGUAAACUUCUUUUAUCUGGGGCGAAAACCUCCCUUUCUAGGGGGCUUGACAGUACCAGAAGAAUAAGCACCGGCUAACUCCGUGCCAGCAGCCGCGGUAAUACGGAGGGUGCAAGCGUUAUCCGGAUUCACUGGGUUUAAAGGGUGCGUAGGCGGGCAGGUAAGUCAGUGGUGAAAUCCCCGAGCUUAACUCGGGAACUGCCGUUGAUACUAUCUGUCUUGAAUACCGUGGAGGUGAGCGGAAUAUGUCAUGUAGCGGUGAAAUGCUUAGAUAUGACAUAGAACACCAAUUGCGAAGGCAGCUCGCUACACGGUCAUUGACGCUGAGGCACGAAAGCGUGGGGAUCAAACAGGAUUAGAUACCCUGGUAGUCCACGCCCUAAACGAUGAUUACUCGACAUCAGCGAUACACUGUUGGUGUCUAAGCUAACGCAUUAAGUAAUCCACCUGGGAAGUACGAUCGCAAGAUUGAAACUCAAAGGAAUUGACGG
rnacentral:rRNA from 2 species